rnacentral:lncRNA from 1 species
AUGUCUUGCAUACCUGCUUAAAAAGGGUCUGAGAAUCUAUGAACGAAAUUAUAGCAUAGAACAAUGCCUGCCGCUGGAAGUCCACAGCAUGGAAAUAUUACUGUCUAAUGCUCUUGACAUGUACAAAAAUAAUGGCCACUGGUCUGUCAGCACUUUCCUCAUUUUUUUACCCUGAGACCCUGUGGAUGAUAUCCAUCUGUUCUGCGGAAACCAUGUCCCCAGCAGAUCAGUUGUCUUUUGUCAAAAAUGGAGCAGUGGAUGCACCGUAUGCUAGGCCAGAAUUGUACUCCUGCUGACCUUUCAAAGUAUAAUUCAUCGUAUUUGUUUGUUUAGAUUGAGAGGGUCCAGGAGGGAUCAAGUGACCACAGAGAGGACAUCUGGGAGUUGUCUGUACACUACAGGCCACACAGUUCCCACUUCUGCCUGAAGAAAGAAGCCACAGAUCUCUCUCUUAUCUCAGUGACCUGCUAGGGUUGAAAAGGGUACUAAUGGUCUCCGAGGGGAAAGGAAAGAGAAGACCGUCAGUUGCAUGUAAACAUGUCCCUCAUAUGUUUGCAAUGUUGCUUCUUAUGCAUAGAUGGCUCUGGAAACCACACCCUCCUGAAUAAUAAGCAAAAGUCCUUAGAACAAAAAGAAAAAGGUCUCGAGGAAAAUGCAAAACAGAAUUCACACACACAAAGAACAAUAGUAUUGGGUUUGAUUUGCUUAAUGUGGAAAUCAAGGCUGUUUCCACCUUUAUUGGAAGCAGGUGAGGGCUCGUGAAGAUGCAUUUCCAGUUCCUACAUUCUGCUCGGCAAUGCAGCACCAAGAAACUGGGCAAUUGUCAGCUCCCAGGACCUUCCCUGUAUCCUUUCUGGAGACAUGCAUGAGGAUUCCUUCAUUCCAGAAACACUGUGGCUUAUAUUCUUUAUUUUGUUCAUUUGAUUUGGUUCCUCCCUUUUGGCUUGCUCAAAACCAGAAGAUAGCUCCUGAGAACUCCGUAAUUGAAAAGGGCUG